rnacentral:rRNA from 1 species
UAGGGAAUCUUCGGCAAUGGACGGAAGUCUGACCGAGCAACGCCGCGUGAGUGAAGAAGGUUUUCGGAUCGUAAAGCUCUGUUGUAAGAGAAGAACGAGUGUGAGAGUGGAAAGUUCACACUGUGACGGUAUCUUACCAGAAAGGGACGGCUAACUACGUGCCAGCGGCCGCGGUAAUACGUAGGUCCCGAGCGUUGUCCGGAUUUAUUGGGCGUAAAGCGAGCGCAGGCGGUUAGAUAAGUCUGAAGUUAAAGGCUGUGGCUUAACCAUAGUAGGCUUUGGAAACUGUUUAACUUGAGUGCAAGAGGGGAGAGUGGAAUUCCAUGUGUAGCGGUGAAAUGCGUAGAUAUAUGGAGGAACACCGGUGGCGAAAGCGGCUCUCUGGCUUGUAACUGACGCUGAGGCUCGAAAGCGUGGGGAGCAAACAGGAUUAGAUACCCUGGUAGUCCACGCUGUAAACGAUGAGUGCUAGGUGUUAGACCCUUUCCGGGGUUUAGUGCCGUAGCUAACGCAUUAAGCACUCCGCCUGGGGAGUACGACCGCAAGGUU